CAAGCCUGACGAAGCAAGACCGCGUGGGGGAGGAAAGCCUUUGGGUUGUAAACCCCUUUUCUCAGGGAAGAAGAAAGUGACGGUACCUGAGGAAUCAGCCUCGGCUAACUCCGUGCCAGCAGCCGCGGUAAUACGGAGGAGGCAAGCGUUAUCCGGAAUGAUUGGGCGUAAAGCGUUCGUAGGUGGCAAUUCAAGUCUGCUGUCAAAGACAGUAGCUCAACUACUGCAAGGCAGUGGAAACUGAAUAGCUAGAGUGCGGUAGGGGCAGAGGGAAUUCCCGGUGUAGCGGUGAAAUGCGUAGAGAUCGGGAAGAACACCGGUGGCGAAAGCGCUCUGCUGGGCCGCAACUGACACUGAGGGACGAAAGCUAGGGGAGCGAAUGGGAUUAGAUACCCCAGUAGUC
rnacentral:rRNA from 1 species